UACGGGAGGCAGCAGUCGAGAAUCAUUCGCAAUGGACGCAAGUCUGACGGUGCGACGCCGCGUGGAGGAUGAAGGCCUUAGGGUCGUAAACUCCUGUCAUCAGGGAGUAAGGCUUUAUAUAGUAACUGAUAUAAGGAUUGAUAGUACCUGAAGAGGAAGGGACGGCUAACUUCGUGCCAGCAGCCGCGGUAAU
rnacentral:rRNA from 1 species